GACGAACGCUGGCGGCGUGCUUAAUACAUGCAAGUCGAGCGAGGUUAUUCAUUCAAAGUCCUUCGGGGUGGCGAAUUUUAACCUAGCGGCGGACGGGUGAGUAACGCGUGGGCAACCUGCCCUAAAGCCCGGGAUAACAGUGGGAAACUACUGCUAACACCGGAUGGUCUCAUUUUUGUGGCAUCAUAAGAUGAGUAAAGGUUACGCUUUAGGAUGGGCCCGCGUCCCAUUAGCUAGUUGGUGAGGUAACUGCUCACCAAGGCGACGAUGGGUAGCCGGCCUGAGAGGGUGGACGGCCACACUGGGACUGAGACACGGCCCAGACUCCUACGGGAGGCAGCAGUAGGGAAUAUUGCGCAAUGGAGGGAACUCUGACGCAGCGACGCCGCGUGAGCGAUGAAGGUCUUCGGAUCGUAAAGCUCUGUCCUCAGGGAGAAGGUUAUUAACUUGACGGUACCUGAGGAGGAAGCCCCGGCUAACUACGUGCCAGCAGUCGCGGUAAAUC
rnacentral:rRNA from 1 species